UAAACCAGUCGCAUCAAAGCAAAUAUGAGCGUGACAUUAGAACCAACAACGCAUAAUACCAAUGGUACAAACCAUUGCUGCGCUGCUACUCGUCAUUCUUCAGAUGCUGCUGGAGCUAGGAAUACAUUCUCAAUUCAACUAGGAAUCAACAGAUCAAGAGCAUACAAGAGCUACAGGUAACUCUUUUUUUUUGCGGGGAGAGCUACAGCUAACUUUUUCUUUUUGCGGGGAGAGCUACAACUAACUUACAGUACUAGAAUAAAAGACAAGGCCAUCAUCAACUCAUAUCAUCAUCAGAAGAUAAACUCCGGACUGUUGCUGGAUCGAAUUCAUCAGAGUCGCUGUCCUCAUAAUAUAAGGGAGGUUCUACAUCUUCCCUGCCCAUAUCGUAUAUCCCUUUUAACGGGUGCCUCAAUACACCCAUUCCUUGGUUCUCACAGGCAUAACAUUCACCUGGCAAAGUAAAUCACAAUGUUAGAAUCUUUUUAGGUCACUACAAAUCAUAAGGUGAAAAGUUUCCAUACCAUAUUGAUCUUCCUCCAAAGGAUAACAGGCAUAGAGUUUUAUCAUACAUAUCGAUUUGACCUCGGCGAAGUACAUCGCCGACAUCCAAUCAGCUGAGCCAGGCUUCUUUAUCUUGACAGUAAAGUUGAAGUGAUGGAAUAUCGUUAAAUAAUCCUCCAUAUUAAAACAUUGAUGGACAAGCUCGUCAAAUUCAUAAUCAAGUCCCUAAGAUGAAACAAGUGUUAGUCAUAGUUCUCUAUAGUCCCAACAAUAAAAAGCAUUUUAGAGCAGACGUGGAGAACCUUAAGAUCAUCUUUGCUCUCAAUGUACUUGUGAAAGCCACCAUCGCCUCCUCGCUCAUCCAUCGUUUCGCAUUUGCAGCAAUUUCUUCUUCCUUAGAAGCGUAAGUAUGUUGUCCCCGUGCUUGGACUGAUUGAGUUUGUUUUCCAACUUUCAUGUUUGCAUAUUCUUUGUUAGUUUCAAAGUCGAGUGGGCAAUAUCCUUGUGCUUGGAAAAAUUGAGCUCGUUCUUCAGCUUGUCUUCUCUCAAAUUUUAUAUCACCUUGAUGGUCGAGUGGAUAAAAUCCUCCAAAUAUCUCCUGCCUAGACAGAAAUAUAAGAAUCCGUCAGCAAAACAUGGUUAAUAAUGUAAUCUAGAUAGAUAUACAAGAAAGUUCACGUAGUGAUACAACAUGGGACAAGAUGCAAUAAACUGAUUCUCAAUUUAAUUAAACUUGCAUUAAUAGACUAUAAGCACUCUUUGCUUAGAUCUAGGAGAAAAGUCAUGUAAUAAGCCUUGCCUUAUUCACUAUGAACCUUUGAUUAUAGUAUUUGUGUAUGGAUAUAAGACAGGUUCACUACGUGGGGUUCACUAACCAGGUUCUAGAAAUACGGAUGAUGUGGGGUUCACUAUGCGUGGCAACUGAGCUAAUCUGCAUUAUGACAUGCGAAAGACAAUCGCAUAGCUCCAUUUAAAGCUAUUUGUUGACCUAAAGAAACAUAACAGCAACAACUUUUUUCUGAAUAUCAGUAUGCAUCAUUAUGAAAUUAUGAAUCGACUGUUUCAGCAUGUAUCACCACCCUAGGCCAAACAAUUUACAUCCAUGCUUUAGUCAACGUCUACUGUGACUAAAUUUGAAGCUUGAAAGUCCUAAGGAAAACAGAUAUCAGUAAUCGAUCUUCAAUGCACGAGGAAAGUGUGUAUGCUGAGAAGAAGUUGUUUGAAUCAAACGAAUUAUCCACAAAUUCUUGCUACAAUUGUUUACAUAAUUCAUUUUCCAUCAUAAUCUCAUAAUCGUGGUGGCAUCCUCACCACCUCAAGGAGAAGGUAACCAAAUCUAUCAGAUAUGGAUACAUGCCACCAGUCUCAGGAGAGAACAACCAUGCUAGGGUGAGAUUGUUACCAAACACACCCAACAAGUACCCAUUGUACAACCAUAUGGGCCAUUAGUGCAGCCAUACGGGUCAUAAAAAGUACCCAACAUUUCAACAAACCAGUUGUUAACUUACGAAAGGAAGGACAAAAUAAAGAUGGACAUACCCCUCAGCUGAUUCAAGUGUGUGAGAUGUGUCAUUCAGCGUCAGGGUCUCAAGCUCACGGCUGCUCACCUCCUCCACACGCUCCGGGACCCUGAUCAAAACAAGCACGAUGAUGUGUGAGGUGACUAUUACGACGAAGAUGUAGAAACAUAGCUAGGAUUUGUUGGCCUUUUCUGUUUUUCUCAUGAGAAAUACAAUGCAACAAAUUUAAUUUGACCAACCAAAACAGGGACUAGCCCCUGUGGCAUAUUGAUUCAGAGGAAACAACCCAGGUGCACACAUUUGCGGGGCCCAACAAUGGAACCCAGAUGGCAGGCUGGGUGCAAAGCUGAGCACAGCCAACUGGUUGUAGUUGACAACCAGUUCCUGUAUAAACAAAAACUACAACCAUAUAGUAUAUCAAAAUAAACAACUACUCCCUCCAUUCCCAAAUACAAGUCUUUUUAGAGAUACCGAUAAAAGACUACAUACGGAGCAAAAUGAGUGAAUCUACAUUCUAAACUACGUCUAUAUACAUUCGUAUGUACUCCCUCCGUUUCGAAAUAAUUGUCUUUUUAGAGAUUUCAACAAAUAACUAUAUACAGAGCAAAAUGAAUGAAUCUACACUCUAAAACAUGUCUACAUACAUCCGUAUGUUGUAGUCCAUUUGAGAUGGCUAGAAAGACAAUUAUUUCGGAACGGAGGGAGUAGUUCAUAGUAAAAUCUUUACAAAGACUUAGGAAGUAGUACAAAACUGACUCACCGCCAACAAUAGUUUUUGACAGAGAUACAUGUCUGUGAAAAAAUAAGACUCCCAAGGAGCCGAUACGAUCAGCACGUCCCUGGGACUGGGACGCAAUUAAACUUGAGGCCACUAUCUCACUGUUGAUUGAGCCAGUUCACAAAGUAAAAGAAAAUAAACAAUGGCAGGGAGGUGAAGGCGGGGGGGAGAAUCUGACCGAGUUCCAGUUUCACUCGAACUGGAAGCCGGAGAGCCGGCGGGAGGUGAAGGGGAUCGGUCGCCGGCCAUCGCGAGGAGCCGGCGGAGGACAAGACAAUAGGAGAAAGGAGUUUUUUUUUUUUUUGAGGUGAAGGAGAAAGGAGUUAUGCGAAACUUGGUUUGGGUCUCUCCCGCAAUUUAGGCGAUGCGCACUUUUCAUUUUGCUUUCUAGGGUGCCGAGGAGACCUCCUAUUCCACGCGUAACAGACUCGGAAACGUAGUCUCAAAAAAAAAAAGACUAGGAAACGUGCACCUCAGCGUAGGGACGGGUGUUGGGCCUCAAUCUCUGGCCCACCUCCGUUUCUUUCGUUCGCUGGACUAUCUCGUGUGUGAGCAAAACAAAAAUCGAAUUUCUUGUAACAUCAGUUGAAAUGUCAAGAAAAAAGCAUAUUUUUUCGCAAAUAAGGUUCUGGAUUUAUAUUGAAAAUUUCCAACGAUGGAAGACAUCUGAAAAAACAAGAUUUUUUUUAUUUUCGGCUGAAAAAAAGUUACAACAAGGUUCUAACAAAGCCAAGCAAAACUCAAUCUCCAGAAGCCGAAGGUGAGCCGUUGCUGCCGCUCCAUCACUGAAGCCGGCCUGAUACUGUAUCCUACCAUCGGCGGGAAAAUCUUCGUGCUAAAGUUCAGUUGGAACAAUGCUCUGGAGAAAAAGCCAACAUCAUAGGAGCCUUGCAAUUCAACAAUGCUCUGCUCGUUUAAAUCUUAUCAAGUUCAAAGUAGCAGACUGUCUAGCUACAGGUGGUGCACAACCAGGCCAUGCGACCACUGUAAACCUACUGGUUUCGCCAGUUGCUUUGGUGAACGGAAUGCCAAUUAUACAAAAAAAAGGUAAAUAAGAACUUGCAGUUCACCAACCGUGACAGCAAGAAUUUAAAGCAGAGUAAACCAGUCGCAUCAAAGCAAAUACGAGCGUGACAUUAGAACCAACAACGCGUAUAAUACUAGUGUGACAAAACAUUGCUGCGCUGCUACUCGACAUUCUUCAGAUGCUGCUGGAGCUAGGAAUGCAUUCUCAAAUCAACUAGGAAUCAAUAGAUCAAGAGCAUACAAGAGCUACAGCUAACUUACAGUACUAGAAUAAAGACCAAGGCCAUCAUCAACUCAUAUCCUCAUCAGAAGAUUCACUCCCUCCCGUUGUUGGAUCGAAUACAUCAGAGUCGCUGUCCUCACAAUAGAAGGGAAAUUGUAUAUCUUCCCUGCCCAUAUCAUAUAUCCCUUUUAAUGGGUGCCUCAAUACACCCAUUCCUUGCUUCUUACAUGCAUAACAUUCACCUGCCAAAGUAAAUCACAAUGUUAGAAUCUUUUUAGGUCACUACAAGUCAUAAGGUGAAAAUUUUCCAUACCAUAUCGAUCUUGCUCCAAAGGAUAACAGGCAUAUAGUUUUAUCAUACAUAUUGAUUUGACCUCGGCGAAGUACAUCACCGAUGUCCAAUCAACUAAGCCAGGCUUCUUUAUCUUGACAGUAAAGUUGAAGUGAUGAAAUAUCUUUAAAUAAUUCUCCACACUAAAACAUUGAUGGACAAGCUCGUCAAAUUCAUAAUCAACUCCCUAAGAUGAAACAAAUGUUAGUCAUAGUUCUCUACGUCCCAACAAUAAAGAGGAUUUCAGGGCGGGCGUGGAGAACCUUAAGAUCAUCUUUGCUCUCAAUGUAUCUUUUGAAAGCCACCAUCGCCUCCUCGCUCAUCCAUCGUUUCGCAUUUGCAGCAAUUUCUUCUUUCUUAGAAGCAUAAGUAUGUUGUCCUCGUGCUUGGACUGAUUGGGUUUGUUUUUCAACUUGCAUGUCUGCAUAUUCUCUAAUAGUUUCAAAGUCGAGUGGCCAAUAUCCUUGUGCUUGGAAAAAUUGAGCUCGUUCUUCAUCUUGUCUAAUCUCAAAAUCUAUAUCACCUUCAUGGUCAAGUGGAUAAAAUUCUCCAAUUAUCCCCUGCCUGGAUAGAAAUAUCAGAAUCCGGUCAGCAAAACAUGGUUCAUAAUGUGGUCUAGAUAGAUAUACGAGACAACAUGGGACAAGAUGUAAUAAACUGAUUCUCAAUUUAAUUAAAAUUGCAUUAAUAAACAAAGCACUCUUUGCUUAGAUAUAGGAGAGAAGUCUUGUAAUAAACCGAGCUUGCUUUAUUCACUUUGAACCAAAGCACUGUUUGCUUAGAUAUAGGAGAGAAGUCUUGUAAUAAACCUUGCUUUAUUCACUUUGAACCUUUGAUUAUAGUAUUCUUGUAUGGAUAUAAUACAAGUUCACUACACGGAGUUUACUAACCAGGUUCUAGAAAUACAGAUGAUGUGGGGUUCACUAUGCCUAUCAACUGAGCUAUUCUGAAUUAUGACAUGCGGAAGACGAUCACAUAGCUCCAAUUAAAGCUAUUUGUUGACCUAAAGAAACAUAACAACACGACCGUUUUCAGAAUAUCAGUAUGCAUCAUAUGAAAUUAUGAAUCGACUGUUUCAGCAUGCAUCACCACCCUAGGUCACAAUUGAUUUACCUCCAUGCUUUAGUCAAUGUCAAACAAUUUGCUACCUAUUAGUGCAACCAUACGGGUCAUAAAAAGUACCCAAAACAAACAAUUAUUAACUUACGAAAAGGAAGGACAAAAUAAAGAUGGACAUACUCGUCAGCUGAUUCAAGUGUGUGAGGUGUGUCGUUCAGCGUGAGGGUCUCAAACUUAGACAGAUCCUUGCUUGCACCCCCAAGCUCAAUGCUGCUCACCUCCUCGACAUGCUCCCGAGCCCUGAUGAAAACAAGCACGAUAAUGUGUCAGUGACUAUUAUGGUGAGGGUGGUGGAAAUAUAGCUAGGAUUUGUUGGCAUUAUCUGUUUUUUUCCAUGAGAAGGACAGGGCAACAAAAUAGUUAAUACACUGUGAUUUCAAACGGAUAUUGAACACACAGAUUGAUUCGCCACACACUCGUAUUUGCUUUGAUGUGACUGGUUUACUCUGCUUUGAAUACUCCCUGGGACCGAGGCUGUGUCUCACCGUUGAUUGAGCUAGUUCACAAACUAAAAGAAAACAAACAAUGGCAGGGAGGUGAGGGGGAGGGAAUCUCACCCAGUUUCAUUUUCGUUCGAAGAGGACGCCGGAGAGCCGGCGGGAGGUGAAGGGGGUCGGCCGCCGGCCAUCGCGAGGAGCCGGCGGAGGACAACCUAGGAGAAAGGAGUUAUGCGGUGAAACUUUGGUUGGGUCUCUCCAGCAAUUUAGGCGAUGAACACUUUUUGUUUUGUUUUCUAACUAUAGGGAGGNNNNNNNNNNNNNNNNNNNNNNNNNNNNNNNNNNNNNNNNNNNNNNNNNNNNNNNNNNNNNNNNNNNNNNNNNNNNNNNNNNNNNNNNNNNNNNNNNNNNNNNNNNNNNNNNNNNNNNNNNNNNNNNNNNNNNNNNNNNNNNNNNNNNNNAGCCUAGCGACGGAUGUUGGGCUUCAAUCGCUGGCCCACCUCGGUUUCUUUCGUUCGCUUCGCUGGACUGUCUGUGUGUGAGAAAAAAAAAACGAAUUUCUUGUUCUUUUUAACAUGGUAUAUAUACUCAGACGGUUAUACAUACACAUAUAUUCACCCCUAUAAUCAUACACACGCACACCCUAUCCCUAUUUUUAUAUUGUGAUCCAAAUUCAAGUAAUCCCUCUGUUCCCAUAAUGUAGUGCAUUUUUUUUUUCAAAUAUCAAACCUCCCAAACUUUGUCCAAGUUCAUGGAGAAAAAUAUUUACAAUUAGAAUGUCAAAUAUAUAUAUCAUUAGAUUCAUCACAAGAUGUUGUUUCAUAUUUCAUAAAUUUGGUAUUGUAGAUUAAAUAUUUUUCUCUAUAACUUGAUCAAAGUUUACGAAGUUUGACAUUUUAAAAAAUAUAUAUGCACUACAUUAUGGAACAGAGGGAGUAUAAAGAUAAAGACAACUUCUGACGAGCGAGCGGAGUUAGGCCCCUCGUUGGUAGGCUUGGGCCGAUGGAUCAGUAUUGACCUAGAUCACAUGUGUUAUAUAUAUAUAUAUAUAUCCUUUGUAAGCCGUCGGACGGGAUAAGUUGAGCAGUUGUAAAUCCUAUGCGUUUCUAAGGGCAUCUCCAACGGCGGCCCACAAAUUUUCUUCCUCAUCCAUCUGCUGGCAAGGGGGGGGGGGGGCAGUUCGCGGACACAGUUGCGGGAGGCCACCAGCCAACACUGCCCGCAUACAUUUAACCACUCUUUGAACUAACCAGACAAAAUACAUGCAAACACGGCGGAUUUCAUACGAAUGGGACGAAAUUCAUUAUAUUUUGGACAUAUUUUUAACUUAAAAUGAUACUGGACUAAGAUAAAAACUAGUCUACGGCCGGUGCAGGCGGAUAUCCAUUCCGACGACAUGGAUACCUUUGACUAAUCCAUGGCCAGCCACGACGGAUCUUCAUUGUCGUCCCCCUGCCCAGUAGGGGCGAGCCACGAAGGUAUAUGCUUCAGCACAAAGGGCGACUGGCUUCCCCACGGCUCAUCGAAGUAGAACCGCCGGUUGAUGCUUUAGCCGGAGAGGAAGGGUGCCUAUGCUGCCCAGAUCAGAGUUGGUUUUGGGGAAAGGGGCGACGGUGGCCUUCGAGAGGGCAAGACACCGGCGUCGCCUCGGCGGUGGCCUCCCGUGUUCUACUUCUCCUCGAUGAUGGCGGCGGCCACGGGCGUGCUGGGCGUCGUCUCGUCAAUGUCCACAUAGCCGGCUUCUUUCUUCACGCGCGGAUAUCCAUUCUGAUGACAUGGAUACCUUUGACUAAUCUACGACCAGCCACGGCGGAUCUCCAUUGUCCUUCCCCUGCCCAGCAGGCAUGAGCCACGAAGGUAUAUGCUUCAGCACAAAGGGCGGAUGGCUUCCCCACGGCUCAUCGAAGUAGAACCGCUAGCUGAUGCUUUAGCCGGAUCAGACUUGGUUUUGGGGUAGGGACGACGAUGGCCUUCGAGAGGGCAAGACAUCGGCGUCGCCUCGGCGGUGGCCUUCAUGGGACCCAAGCGGCGGUGGCCUCCCGUGUUACUUCUCCUUGAUGAUGGCGGCGGCCGUGGGCGUUCUGGGCAUCGUCUCGUCAAUGUCUGCGUAGCCGGCUUCUUUCUCCAUCGGUAGGGCGCGGUUACGCGCGCGUUGACGAUGGAUGGAGGGAUCGCAGGCACGGGAGGCACCGUACGACACGACGUCAUCCACGACAGCCAAGAUGUUCGUGCUGCCAUCCCCCACCCCUCCUGCCGGCCUGGAGCAACUCGCCACUCCUCGGCAAGCUGAACCACGCGCCGGCGUGGAGCUUCAGCCUCCGCGAGCUGGCCUGCAACGGCCUGGAACGCCGAUGGAGGUGGAACAGACAGUUGGCUGGCUCGCCAGCUUUUAUGUUGGAGAAUUUUUCUUCCUACUAGCAAGAUGCCCGUGCGUUGCACGGAACAUUAAGAUCUUGUGGGAGAAAAGGAUGAACAAGGGAAGGUAUUAUCUGCAAAUGUGGAGAGGAGUGCAGGUAAAUUGUCAUAGUUUCCUUCCUAUCCCUUAGAUAUAGAUCGGACAGUCUAUAUUGCAGGAUGGCAGGCACACCAUCAUCACCAACUCUGCUUUUUAUAAGAGUAGAGACUCGUCGGAUGCCAUGGAGGAAAAUGUUAAAGGAGGAAAUGGAGAGCGAAGGUGUGGUGCGGUUCUUGUCGGGCGUCUCGCACCGUUUAAAUAGCGAGCGGAUGUGAGGAGCCAACCGACUUGUGAAUAAUGAUGGCCACCUCGAGAACGGACGUGUGACCGAAGUAGGUAUCUCAUCACACGGGUGGGUUAAUAGAGGACAGUGGGCAGACUUCAGCCAUUUGGAUGCGACGAGGAGGCGUGCUCACCUGAGCGUGCAGCAGGCGGCGCCCUCGACCGGCGUGCCGUUUCAAUGGUAGAGGCAGUGAGAGGUUGCGUACGCUCUGAUCCGGCUUCAAUGUGAAGCGGCCGCUCUACAACGGCAUAAAUGCGUGCAGCUGGCACCAGACGGGAACACGCGCUGGCAAGGUAUAGGGGGUUGGGGUGGGAUCAGGAUGGUCUGAAGCGGGCGUCAGUGUUGUCCAGACGCCCGCAAAGCCCCCCAUAUUUGUCUCCGGAUUACGGGAGAAAACACGUCCGGAUCGCUAGGCGGAUCGACACAUACCUUCUACGAUCUGGGGUUUUCCACGUUAAAUCCUCGUGUCUCAUGUGUUGAUUUUGACCUUCGUCAUUUGAUUUGCUUGUCGUACCUCUAACACCUGCUCCACCAAAGAUGCCCCCGUGCUGUGGAACUGUGGCGAGCCAUGGAGAAACAUUGGAGCUUGCCGGACCUAAAUUCUGUAAGGCCGACGGGUAUUGAGUGGCUGUUCGACGUGUUGUACCCCAUGCAGGCUGAUGAUCGCGUGACGGUCCUUAUGGUGUUGUGGCACGCUUGGCAUAUCAGCAAUGAAAUCGUCCAUGAGAAGAGGCCUCCCCCAGUGGAGGUAUCAUACCGGUUUCUGCUCAGCAAUGAAGCAUCCCUGGCUGCUAUCCAGCGAAACCCGGACGGUAAUCACAUGAAGGGCAAGAUGGUGCUUGCGCCCGCUGCAAGGAUGGCACCGGCAAGGCAUCAGGAGAACGCACCAGUGCCAGACAGCAUGUGGCAGGCCCAGCUCCUGGGCGUGUUAAACUGAACGUCGACGGUUCCUACUGCCCCGCCUCUGGUGGUGCGGGUGCAGGCAUGAUCUUGAGGGACAGCAAUGGAGCGAUCAUUUUUCCGGCAUGCAGAAACCUUCUCUUCUAUGCAGAUCCCUUGCAAGCAGAGUUGGUGGCUUGUCUCGAGGGCCUCAAUUUUGCUAUGCAAUGGUCUCCUUUGCCUGUGGACGUGGAGAUGGACAGCCUGAUUGCUGUGCAGGCUAUCCAGUCAAUGACUGAUGAUAAAUCGCAACAUGCGAUGAUGAUUACUGAAGCUAAGAGACUUCUUGGUGAAAGGGGAAGCUCAAUUGCUCAUAUUAGUAGGAGACAAAACCGUGUUGGGCAUAGACUAGGUGAAUUUGGUCGAGUAGAAGCUAGGACUGCCGUAUGGUUAAAAUCAGGACCUGCUAAUGUACUGGAACUUUGUAUGGAGGAUCUUCCUCCAAGUUGAGCAAUGAAAUUCCUUUUGACCCCGCAAAAAAAAGGUUCUAAAUUUUAUAUUCAAAAUUUCCGACGAUAAAAGACAUCUGAAAAAAAUUUACAACCAGAUUCUAACAAAACCAAGCAAAACUCAAUCUCCACAAAAAUGGACUAUAUGUCACUACAGGCGCGGAACGUCCUCUGCAAUGGUAGAAUCAGAUUCUACUACUCAGGUGCAGGCUGUUAACAGAGAAGGAUAUGACCGGUCAGGUAGAUUGACUUCUUUGCUCGUUUAAAUCUUGUCAAGUUCAAAGUAGCAGACGGUCAGGUAGAAUCGGAUUCUACUACUCUGGCUGCAGGUGGUGCACAACCAGGCCAUGCCGCCACUGCAAUUCUGCAAACCUGCUGGUUUGGCCGUUUGCUUGGCCAAUUAUACCCAAAAAAGAAGGUAAAUAAGAACUUGCAGUUCACCGACUGUGACAGCAACAAUUUAAAGCAGAGUAAACCAGUCGCAUCAAAGCAAAUACGAGCGUGACAUUAGAACCAACAACACAUAAUACCAGUGUUACAAACCAUUGCUGCGCUGCUACUCGACAUUCUUCAGAUGCUGCUGGAGCUAGGAAUACAUUCUUAAAUCAACUAGGAAUCAACAGAUCAAGUGCAUACAAGAGCUACAGCUAACUUCUUUUCUUUUUUUUCUUUUUUUUUGAGGGGAGAGCUACAGCUAACUUACAGUACUAGAAUAAAGGACAAGGCCAUCAUCAACUCAUAUCAUCAUCAGAAGAUAAACUCCGGACUGUUGCUGGAUCGAAUUCAUCAGAGUCGCUGUCCUCAUAAUAGAAGGGAGGUUCUACAUCUUCCCUGCCCAUAUCGUAUAUCCCUUUUAACGGGUGCCUCAAUACACCCAUUCCUUGGUUCUCACAGGCAUAACUUUCACC
rnacentral:lncRNA from 1 species